rnacentral:rRNA from 1 species
UCGAACGGCAGCACGAGAGAGCUUGCUCUCUUGGUGACGAGUGGCGGACGGGUGAGUAAUAUAUCGGAACGUGCCUAGUAGCGGGGGAUAACUACUCGAAGGAGUGGCUAAUACCGCAUACGCCCUACGGGGGAAAGGGGGGGAUCGCAAGACCUCUCACUAUUAGAGCGGCCGAUAUCGGACUAGCUAGUUGGUGGGGUAAAGGCUCACCAAGGCAACGAUCCGUAGCUGGUUUGAGAGGACGACCAGCCACACUGGGACUGAGACACGGCCCAGACUCCUACGGGAGGCAGCAGUGGGGAAUUUUGGACAAUGGGGGAAACCCUGAUCCAGCCAUCCCGCGUGUAUGAUGAAGGCCUUCGGGUUGUAAAGUACUUUUGGCAGAGAAGAAAAGGUACCUCCUAAUACGAGGUACUGCUGACGGUAUCUGCAGAAUAAGCACCGGCUAACUACGUGCCAGCAGCCGCGGUAAUACGUAGGGUGCAAGCGUUAAUCGGAAUUACUGGGCGUAAAGCGUGUGUAGGCGGUUCGGAAAGAAAGAUGUGAAAUCCCAGGGCUUAACCUUGGAACUGCAUUUUUAACUGCCGAGCUAGAGUAUGUCAGAGGGGGGUAGAAUUCCACGUGUAGCAGUGAAAUGCGUAGAUAUGUGGAGGAAUACCGAUGGCGAAGGCAGCCCCCUGGGAUAAUACUGACGCUCAGACACGAAAGCGUGGGGAGCAAACAGGAUUAGAUACCCUGGUAGUCCACGCCCUAAACGAUGUCAACUAGCUGUUGGGGCCGUUAGGCCUUAGUAGCGCAGCUAACGCGUGAAGUUGACCGCCUGGGGAGUACGGUCGCAAGAUUAAAACUCAAAGGAAUUGACGGGGACCCGCACAAGCGGUGGAUGAUGUGGAUUAAUUCGAUGCAACGCGAAAAACCUUACCUACCCUUGACAUGUCUGGAAUCCCGAAGAGAUUUGGGAGUGCUCGCAAGAGAACCGGAACACAGGUGCUGCAUGGCUGUCGUCAGCUCGUGUCGUGAGAUGUUGGGUUAAGUCCCGCAACGAGCGCAACCCUUGUCAUUAGUUGCUACGCAAGAGCACUCUAAUGAGACUGCCGGUGACAAACCGGAGGAAGGUGGGGAUGACGUCAAGUCCUCAUGGCCCUUAUGGGUAGGGCUUCACACGUCAUACAAUGGUCGGGACAGAGGGUCGCCAACCCGCGAGGGGGAGCCAAUCUCAGAAACCCGAUCGUAGUCCGGAUCGCAGUCUGCAACUCGACUGCGUGAAGUCGGAAUCGCUAGUAAUCGCGGAUCAGAAUGUCGCGGUGAAUACGUUCCCGGGUCUUGUACACACCGCCCGUCACACCAUGGGAGUGGGUUUCACCAGAAGUAGGUAGCCUAACCGUAAGGAGGGCGCUUACCACGGUGGGAUUCAUGACUGGGGUGAAGUCGUAACAAGGUAGCCGUA